rnacentral:lncRNA from 1 species
CUGGGUGGCUUGGUUGGUUAAGCGUCCGACUUCAGCCAGGUCACGAUCUCGCGGUCCGUGAGUUCGAGCCCCGCGUCAGGCUCUGGGCUGAUGGCUCAGAGCCUGGAGCCUGUUUCCGAUUCUGUGUCUCCCUCUCUCUCUGCCCCUCCCCCGUUCAUGCUCUGUGUCGCUCUGUCCCAAAAAUAAGUAAACGUUGAAAAAAAAAAAUUAAUAUUAUGGGUCUUAAGCCUUUUUUUAAGGAAGCUCUCUCCCUUCACUAAAAACUGUCUUUUUCGUAUGCAAGUAAUAUUUACAUAAUAUGGUAUUUAUAUUUAUACAAUAUAACAUCUUGGUAUUUAAUAUAUCUGAAAUUAGUGUGGAUAUAUAAUGACAGAAAUGCAUCGAAUCAUCAUUUCAGACAAAUGGAUAGCCCAGUUUUCCAAUAGCACAUAUUGAAAAGUUCACACCUGCCCCACUAAAUUGAAAAAAAAUCUUUAACAAAUACUUAAUUUCCAUAGCUCUGUUUCUCAGUUCUGCUUGGCUCUAUUUGUGCUGGUAUAAAUCUGUUUGAAUUACUAUAGCAUCAGAGUGCAUUUUGCUAUCUGUUAGCUAGCUACUCACUCAGUGUUCCCUGAACAGCCUCAUUGCCUGAUCUCCUCCCUUCACCAGAAUGCCCUCGCCUUCUCUCCAAGUCACCCGUCCUUGACAUCCAAUUCAACAGGGGACAGCUGGCCUAGCAGCACGUGUCCCUCUGUGGGAGCGAAUAGCAAGGGGACCGGACCUGGUGCAGAGUGUGAGAGAGGGAUUCCUGGUGAAAGGGACAAUGACACGAAGGCUGAAGGCAAGACCUUGCAGGUUAGAAGCUUUCAUCCUGAGGUGCGACUGGAGGUUAGUGUUUGAGAAAGGGUGUGGAGAGUGGAGGGAGAGGUAGCUGCAGGGGAACUUUAUCCCCAGGGCAAGAGGAAGCUAUUGGGAGGUUUCAGCAAAUGUUAAGUGCAUCCAUUAUUUUUCUCAGGCUUGGUUCAAAGGAGUCAUGAAAUCAUGUUUGAAAAGUACAUUUGCAGCCUUUAAAAAGGAGUAUGAAGGAGGGGUGCCUGGGUGGCUCGGUUGGUUGAGCGACCGACUUCGACUCAGGUCAUGAUCUCACAGCUUGUGAGUUUGAGCCCCACGUCAGGCUCUGUGCUGACGGCUCAGAGCCCGGAUUCUGUGCCUCCCUGUCUCUCUGCCUUAACCCACUGGCAUUCUGUCUCUGUCUCUCUUCAAAAUAAAUAAACAUUAAAAAAAAUUUUUUUAAAGGAG